rnacentral:rRNA from 1 species
AUUGAACGCUGGCGGAAUGCUUUACACAUGCAAGUCGGGCGGCAGCGCGGGGGCAACCCUGGCGGCGAGUGGCGAACGGGUGAGUAAUACAUCGGAACGUGUCCUUGAGUGGGGGAUAGCUCGGCGAAAGCCGGAUUAAUACCGCAUAAGCUCUGAGGAGGAAAGCGGGGGACUGGUAACGGCCUCGCGCUGUUGGAGCGGCCGAUGUCGGAUUAGCUAGUUGGUGGGGUAAAGGCCCACCAAGGCGACGAUCCGUAGCUGGUCUGAGAGGAUGAUCAGCCACACUGGAACUGAGACACGGUCCAGACUCCUACGGGAGGCAGCAGUGGGGAAUUUUGGACAAUGGGGGCAACCCU